rnacentral:rRNA from 1 species
AUUGAACGCUGGCGGCAGGCCUAACACAUGCAAGUCGAGCGGACGAAGGGAGCUUGCUCCUGGCUUAAGCGGCGGACGGGUGAGUAAUGCCUAGGAAUCUGCCUGGUCGUGGGGGAUAACGUCCGGAAACGGGCGCUAAUACCGCAUACGUCAUGAGGGAGAAAGUGGGGGAUCUUCGGACCACACGCUAUUAGAUGAGCCUAGGUCGGAUUAGCUAGUUGGUGGGGUAAAGGCCUACCAAGGCGACGAUCCGUAACUGGUCUGAGAGGAUGAUCAGUCACACUGGAACUGAGACACGGUCCAGACUCCUACGGGAGGCAGCAGUGGGGAAUAUUGGACAAUGGGCGAAAGCCUGAUCCAGCCAUGCCGCGUGUGUGAAGAAGGUCUUCGGAUUGUAAAGCACUUUAAGUUGGGAGGAAGGGCAGUAAGUUAAUACCUUGCUGUUUUGACGUUACCAACAGAAUAAGCACCGGCUAACUUCGUG